rnacentral:rRNA from 1 species
CACGCUGUAAACGAUGAUUACUAGGUGUGGGGGGACUGACCCCUUCCGUGCCGCAGUUAACACAAUAAGUAAUCCACCUGGGGAGUACGACCGCAAGGUUGAAACUCAAAGGAAUUGACGGGGGCCCGCACAAGCAGUGGAGUAUGUGGUUUAAUUCGAAGCAACGCGAAAAACCUUACCAGGUCUUGACAUCGAGUGAAGUAUUAAGAGAUUAAUACGUCUUUCGGGACACGAAGACAGGUGG